rnacentral:misc_RNA from 1 species
UUCUUAUGUUUUGGAGUCACACAAGCUAAAGACGGGCCAUUUUCCAGACCUCAUCCAGCUUACUGGAGGUUUUGGCUCUGCGUGAGUGUGGUCUACGAGCUGUUUCUCAUCUUUAUACUCUUCCAGAAUGGAAUCGUGGGGUGGGCAGCCUCUUCCCACCCUGCACAGUGCCUCUGAGGUUCACCCAGGAUCAUGCGGUGGGCAGCCUCUUCCCGCCCUGCACAGUGCCUCUGAGGUUCACCCAGGAUCAUGCGGUGUGCAGCCUCUUCCCGCCCUGCACAGUGCCUCUGAGGUUCACCCAGGAUCAUGCGGUGGGCAGCCUCUUCCCGCCCUGCACAGUGCCUCUGAGGUUCACCCAGGAUCAUGCGGUGGGCAGCCUCUUCCCGCCCUGCACAGUGCCUCUGAGGUUCACCCAGGAUCAUGCGGUGGGCAGCCUCUUCCCGCCCUGCACAGUGCCUCUGAGGUUCACCCAGGAUCAUGCGGUGGGCAGCCUCUUCCCGCCCUGCACAGUGCCUCUGAGGUUCAUCCAGGUUGCAUGUGUCUUCCUGCGCUCCUCUUUCUUUUACUAUUUAUUUUUUGAGACGACGUCUUACUCU